UACGUAGGGUGCGAGCGUUGUCCGGAAUUACUGGGCGUAAAGAGCUCGUAGGUGGUUUGUCGCGUUGUUCGUGAAAACUCACAACUCAAUUGUGGGCGUGCGGGCGAUACGGGCAGACUGGAGUACUGCAGGGGAGACUGGAAUUCCUGGUGUAGCGGUGGAAUGCGCAGAUAUCAGGAAGAAUAUCCGUGGCGAAGGCG
rnacentral:rRNA from 1 species